ensembl:lncRNA
CAUAGCACUUCUCUGUGCUGGGUACGCUGAGAAAGGAAAGGAAGAAACAUUGGCCAGACGAUAGAUGCACCAGAUUAGCGGUGUUGGCUAAACACAGGAUGUUCUUGAGUAAUUCAAACCUUUGAACUUGUGUCACAUUGAGACGCAAAGUGGAUUUGGCUAUUGCAUGUCCUGGCUUGCAAGUCUAUUUUCAAAAUAUUUCCUAAUUCUAUUUGCUGUGCCUGACUGUUUCUACAUCUUUCCCUCCUGAGUCUGGUUCAUGGGAGUUGUGAGGAAUCUGUGAAAAAACCUCGUCUGUUCUUUGUGCCACCCUUUUGCCACUACAGCCCAGCCUUCCAGGCCUGCUGCAAAGGUCAGCCCUGACUUGGCAGAGGAAGAGCAAGGGUCAGAAAACCGGGAUGGGGAAGGACUUAUUGAAGAACACGUGCAACCUGAUGAACCAGCUCCUCUGCAAAGUGGUGAGAGAAGGCUGAGGGCAUGGGACCAUGCAGGUACGCUAUGAAUUCUUCCUCCACCGCAGAAGGAUUGGGAUGCAGAAUUCAUCCUGGGAAGGAAAGUCUGGAAAACCGCUUUAGUGUUUUGUGGACCAUUAAAAAAAAAAAAAAAAAGGAAAAAAGAGGGAUAUUUGUCAUUGCAGUGAUAAAACUGUGAGCAGCUUGGAGUUCAGUCAUGCCAGGGAGAGAAUAUGAUACUUUACACGAACACGUCAAGGUUUGGCAGCAAAAAGAAAACCAGGUGAGGAUAAUAUUCCCAGCCUCAAGAGAUCAUAUUCUUUGGAAAAAUGAUAGGAGAAAAAAACAUCAGGGCUAUUAUCUUCUGUACUUAGAGGAAGACUGACGGAGAAAAUGCAGUCACGAUUCGGUGAAAAAAUGGCUACGAAGGCUCUUCUGUCUGCUCUGCCUUCAUUUUUACUUGGGCACCGCUUUGUCAAGGCAAGGGUUAUGGAAAUAAUCAGUGGAUUCACAACAAGAACAGAAGUGCUAAUGUGGUACCGAGUCCCCAAGUAAAUAAACAAUUUCCAGACAAAAUCCUUUCAACAGCAUUGUAUGUCUGUGUUAGCGCUGUGUUUCCUCCAGGAGUUACGUGGUCAGCAGCACUCCGGUUGCAGAGGAGGUCACUCACUUCCUACAGCUCUGUGCUAAAGACAGAAGGGCUUUUUGGUAGAGUAUACAACUCAGGGCUUCCAGGGAGCCACAGAAGAUGCAUUUUGUGGCACGAUUAGAGACAAAAAUGAGUAAAAAAGAAAAUCAUGGUGAGAGUGAAGGAGGAUAAAAGACAUGAAGUAAAGGCUAGUUUUGCCAGCUUCAGCAGCCAUUAGCUAAUCAGAGAUAUAAACACGUUUGUUGUUUAUCACCCAGCCAUAUAGGUACUGUAUUUUGUUACGUGAAAACAAGACCUCUGAUACUUUAUAUACUGCAGAUUAACAGGAAAGAGCUAACAGGAAAAAAAAAAAGACACCAUCACAAAUAGUCCUUUGCUUAUUUCAAAUAUACAGCACCUCUGCAGAAAAUACUGAUUUCAUACAUGUUGAGAAUUCAAUGUGGGAACAGGAAAUAUUUACUUUUCUUGUUCAGAGGCAAUGGAACAGCCAUUCUCCUGAAUUUUUUUUUCUUUUUUUUUCUUUCUUUCUUUAUUUUUUAUCAAAUAUAUGGAAAACCCCAUGGGGCUCCUUGAUUUCAUGUGAUUGCUACUAAUUAAGAGAUGUAGAAAGCUUGAAAUAAUCAGUUCUGAUAGGAUUUUUACCACAGCAGUUUGAAACAGCUUGCAAGAAUUGUGCAAUAUGUGUUAAGUUCAAUCAGGACCAACACUGGGGUCUGCUUUUUAAUGUCCCCUCUGUCCAUGGCUUACUUAAGCUUCUUAUCUCUUGUUGUGGUUCUUUUUG